rnacentral:rRNA from 1 species
GACGAACGCUGGCGGCGUGCCUAAUACAUGCAAGUCGAGCGCAGCGAGGAGGGGUGAGUAACACGUAGAAAACCUCCUUUAAGACCCGGUCAACUUGGGGAAACCGGAGCUAAACCGGAUAUUCAUGGAUGGAUCCUCGGUGCAUUAGCUAGUUGGUAAGUUAACGGCUUACAAAGGCAACGAUGCAUAGCCGACCUGAGAGGGUGAUCGGCCACACUGGAACUGAUACACGGUCCAGACUCCUACGGGAGGCAGCAGUAGGGAAUCUUCCGCAAUGGGCGAAAGCCUGACGGAGCAACGCCGCGUGAGUGAUGAAGGUCUUCGGAUCGUAAAACUCUGUUAUUAGGGAAGCGGUACCUAAUCAGAAAGCCACGGCUAACUACGUGCCAGCAGCCGCGGUAAUUC